UGGCUGAGCUCAGCAGCACCUGACUGGUAACUAUUCUUCCCUGGCCUAGCUCAGCAGCACCUGACUGGUAACUAUUCUUCCCUGGCUGAGCUCAGCAGCACCUGACUGGUAACUAUUCUUCCCUGGCCUAGCUCAGCAGCACCUGACUGGUAACUACUCUUCCCUGGCUGAGCUCAGCAGCACCUGACUGGAAGGGCCAAUCAGAGGACUGUGUCGACGACAUGAUCAGGGACUAUGUCAUCCUACACCAAGCAGCCCAGACAAACCUCCCACAUGGCAGCCAGCCCAGACAAACCUCCCACAUGGCAACCAGCCCAGACAAACCUCCCACAUGGCAACCAGCCCAGACAAACCUCCCACAUGGCAGCUAGGAAUCAGAACCCUCCCCGGUGACCAGGUUUUAUAGAGGGCAUCACAACCCUCCCUGGUGCCCAGGCUUCAUAGAGGGCAUCACAACCCUCCCUGGUGACCAGGCUUCAUAGAGGGCAUCACAACCCUCCCUGGUGACCAGGCUUCAUAGAGGGCAUCACAACCCUCCCUGGUGACCAGGCUUCAUAGAGGGCAUCACAACCCUCCCUGGUGACCAGGCUUCAUAGAGGGCAUCACAACCCUCCCUGGUGACCAGGCUCCAUAGAGGGCAUCACAACCCUCAUCAC